GAUGAACGCUGGCGGCGUGCCUAAUACAUGCAAGUCGAGCGAACAGACGCGGAGCUUGCUCCUCUGACGUUAGCGGCGGACGGGUGAGUAACACGUGGAUAACCUACCUAUAAGACUGGGAUAACUUCGGGAAACCGGAGCUAAUACCGGAUAAUAUAUUGAACCGCAUGGUUCAAUAGUGAAAGACGGUUUUGCUGUCACUUAUAGAUGGAUCCGCGCCGCAUUAGCUAGUUGGUAAGGUAACGGCUUACCAAGGCAACGAUGCGUAGCCGACCUGAGAGAGUGAUCGGCCACACUGGAACUGAGACACGGUCCAGACUCCUACGGGAGGCAGCAGUAGGGAAUCUUCCGCAAUGGGCGAAAGCUUGACGGAGCAACGCCGCGUGAGUGAUGAAGGUCUUCGGAUCGUAAAACUCUGUUAUUAGGGAAGAACAAAUGUGUAAGUAACUAUGCACGUCUUGACGGUACCUAAUCAGAAAGCCACGGCUAACUACGUG
rnacentral:rRNA from 1 species